rnacentral:rRNA from 1 species
CUCCAGACUCCUACGGGAGGCAGCAGUGGGGAAUAUUGCACAAUGGGGGAAACCCUGAUGCAGCGACGCCGCGUGAGUGAAGAAGUAUUUCGGUAUGUAAAGCUCUAUCAGCAGGGAAGAAAAUGACGGUACCUGACUAAGAAGCCCCGGCUAACUACGUGCCAGCAGCCGCGGUAAUACGUAGGGGGCAAGCGUUAUCCGGAUUUACUGGGUGUAAAGGGAGCGUAGACGGCAUGGCAAGUCAGAUGUGAAAGCCCGGGGCUCAACCCCGGGACUGCAUUUGAAACUGUCAGGCUGGAGUGCAGGAGAGGUAAGUGGAAUUCCUAGUGUAGCGGUGAAAUGCGUAGAUAUACGGAGGAACACCAGUGGCGAAGGCGGAUUGCUGGACAGUAACUGACGCUGAGGCGCGAAAGCGUGGGGAGCAAACAGGAUUAGAUACCCCGGUA